rnacentral:lncRNA from 1 species
CGGCCGUGGUCCGGUGCAUACGCGCGUACAUGCAUCGCCAAGCGGUGUCUCGUUCUCAUUUGUCGCGACAGCGGUGGUGGUGGUGGCGGCGUUGGCGGUGUCGUCGGUGCACUUCGUGCAUCGCCUCCUCCUCCUCCUAUCCUCCGACAUUAUUAUUGCGAGGAGGGUAUAAACAACAACGGAGCAUUUUGUGGAAUAAUCUCGAGGAAGAACGCGUACGAGAUCGUAGUGAGUGUUGCUGUUGGUGGUUGGUGAUCGUCGUCGUCGUCGUCAUCGUCGUCAUCUUGCGAAGAUCUACGAGAAAAGGAAUUGAAA